rnacentral:rRNA from 1 species
AUGCCACUUGUGUCUGCUGCCUGUCACGCAAGGAAAAAACCCAAACAUUAUUGCGCUAGUGGAGAACAAAACCAGACAGUUGUGACUGUAGUGUAUAAGAGAGGUUCCUCCUCUUCUGUAGACAUUUGUCACUUCAUCUCUUCAUCUCUUCAUUUCUGUAAACAGGCCUUCGAAACCCCGGGUUUUGUCAUCAUGUAUGGGAGAGGGGUGAUCAGGUUUUUCUGGAAGGCUCUUGAGCGACUGCUGGAUACUUCUCCAUCACGGUGGCACAUCAUGAGAACUACUUUCUGGAUGAAGACUUCUUCCCCAACAUCGACAACCUCCUCCACAACAUGCCGCUCGGUGGUGGUGCUACGACUAAAAAUGCUUCUUCUUCCAUUGUGA